CCUACGGGAGGCAGCAGUGGGGAAUCUUCCGCAAUGGGCGCAAGCCUGACGGAGCAACGCCGCGUGAAUGAAGAAGGUCUGCGGAGCGGAAAGGUCUGUUCGUAGGGAAGAAGGCUUAGGUGGUGAAUAAUGACUUAAGGUGACGGGACCUAUGGAGAAAGCUCCGGCUAACUACGUGCCAGCAGCCGCGGGAAGACGUAGGGAGGGAGCGUUGUCCGGAAUUACUGGGCGGAAAGGGCGCGUAGGCGGGACCUUAAGUUAGAUGUGAAAACUCCGGGCUUAACCUGGAGACUGCAUUUAAAACUGGGUUUCUUGAGGGCAGGAGAGGCCAGUGGCAUUCCUAGUGUCGCUGU
rnacentral:rRNA from 1 species